rnacentral:rRNA from 1 species
UACAGAGGUCUCAAGCGUUGUUCGGAUUCAUUGGGCGUAAAGGGUGCGUAGGUGGCGCUGUAAGUCGGGUGUGAAAUUUCGGAGCUUAACUCCGAAACUGCAUUCGAUACUGGCGUGCUUGAGGACUGGAGAGGAGACUGGAAUUCAUGGUGUAGCAGUGAAAUGCGUAGAGAUCAUGAGGAAGACCAGUGGCGAAGGCGGGUCUCUGGACAAGUUCCUGACGCUGAGGCACGAAGGCCAGGGGAGCAAACGGG